GCCAUGGCGAUCCCAGCUGCCUCUCCCUGGUUGAUUAAUGAGCUGGGCGAACCUCUCUGCACCGUGGUGGCUCCGCCCCCUUACUCCUACGACCCCAACGGAAGCGAUUUUCCCAGAGACUGCAGAGUCCUCCAGUAUUACUUCAACCUGGGAGUCCAGUGGUACCAUCAGAGCUGCUGGCAGCAGC